GUUUGGAUUUGAUAUCCCGCUUUAUCACUACCCUAAGGAGUCUCAAAGUGGCUAACAAUCUCCUUUCCCUUCCUCCCCUACAACAAACACUCUGUGAGGUGAGUGGGGCUGACUUCAGAGAAGUGUGACUAGCCCAAGGUCACCGAGCAGCUGCAUGUGGAGGAGCAGGGAAUCAAACCCAGUUCACCAGAUUACGAGUCCACUGCUCUUAACCACUACACCACACUGGAGAGAAAUAGUGUGUGGUUCACACCGAAUACUACAGAUCAGACUCUGUCCGGAAUUGGCUGGAUACUGAGGAGUCGGCGGGGUGGGAGAGUGACUUGGAAUAAGGGAUUGGUGAUCUGGGGGAGCCUGUAGCAGCUGGGAGACGAGAGGCAGAGGCAGGAGAAGCUGCAAAACUGGAGAGUGAAGAAGAGUUGAGGAAGCUUCUUGUGCUGUCUUCACCCCUCCUGCUCCACUGUCUCCCAGGACCAGAAGAUGAGUGAAGUGGGAAGAACAGAAACAGGUUACACACCAUAGGGGAGAUACAUAAGAUGAGGUCGGGGCAGGCCCUCUCUCUUGCAGAACCUGACUCAUCAGGUGCCAACCUAGGAGUAGCUGAGACACAUAGGACUGAUGGACAAGCCUUUUCCUAACUUACAAGUCUACCUUUGACCCAAAAAAGAGUUAAUUCCUCUCUCUGGACAUUCUGUGCCUGCCAGCACCAUGGCAGACUGUUUGCACAGAGGUAUUAAAGAGUGGUGCUGUGGUCUAAACCACUGAGCCUCUUGGGGUCACCGAUCAGAAGUCAACAGUUCAUAUCUCCAUAACAGGGUGAGCUCCCAUUGCUCUGUCCCAGCUCCUGCCAACCUAGCAAUUUGAAAGCACACCAGUGCAAGUAGAUAAACAGGUACCACUGUGGUGGGAAGGAUUUUCUGUGCGCUCUGGUUUCUGUCAUGGUGUUCCAUUGCUCCAGAAGCGGUUUAGUCAUGCUGGCCACAUGACCUGAAAAGCUGUCUGCAGACAAACUCUGGCUCCCUUGGGCUGAAGUGAGAUGAGCGCCACAACCCCACAGUCACCUUUGACUGGAUUUAACCAUCCAGGGGUCCUUUACCUUUUAGCCUACAGAGGUAUUGGACCCCUAUUGCACGUGGGAAGUUGAGCUAAAGUUGAGAGUGCACCCUAAUAAAGAUUGAUCCUAAUAAAAGAUUGGUCCUAAUAAAGGUAUUAAUUGCUUCUAGUAAAGGUAUUACCUUUUACCAUUCAUUAAUUUCACAACUACCCGCAAUUGUGAAACAGGAUGAGGAUGAGUAUAAGUACAAAAAAAUCAUGCAGGUAAUAUAUAACUAUCACGAUUGUGUGUGCGUGUUUGGGGAGGCAACAUGUAGCUUAGCCUAGGGGAAUAGUUCACUUAGGAACAAAUGUUCAGAGCAACUUAGCUCACAGAUAAAGCCCUUCUUGAUCUCUCUGAAAUCUUUACUUCAGCAAUAAGUCACAGGGUAAAGAUCUGGAAAGAAGAAGAUAUUCUUCUCUCAUUUCGAACAUCCCUUAGUCUUUUCACGGCUCAGCCUUAAGUGAAGGUUUGUGCUGAUGUCUGUACACAGCUAUCUGUCCCAAAGGCCUCAUUCUGAAAAUGCGGAGUGAAUGCUGUGCUUCUCCUGUGAGAGCCUUAGUCUAAGUUGUGUCAGUCACUCAAUAAAUGAUUUGAACACUGACAACUUUUUCUAUGUUUCUCAGUAAAGACAGAAGAAUAUGUCCUACACUGACAAAUCUGGGUCUGGAAACAUGGGUCAUACCUGAAUAGCUGUGGUGAUGAAUGUUGUGGCAAAUGUAUAUUUGGCACAAAAGAAGUGUGGUGAGAGGGAGAUUUUUCACCUAUCUGAGAAUCCCAGGGGGCAGGGAUUGGCUGGGGACAAGGGUUGAAGGGGGAAAGUGGUGGCCAGGAGAAGAAAGAAGGACCACUUCCCCACUUCUUGUGUCACCCAUUUAGAUGGUAAUUGUGAGAAUUAGAGAACAAAAUGGGGGGGGGUAUUCUUGAAGAAUGGAAAUCUUUUGUGGAAUCUUUUAAAAAAUAUCAUGAUUCUCUUAAAACAUAUGCAGGAUUUGAAGUGUAGCAACAGAUGAGAAUUUGUAGUUCAAUAAUUUAGAACUGAUAUAUAAAACAUAAGGGUAAAAUAUAAGUAACACAGCAGCUUUAUAAGGGAAUAAAAGUACACCAUGGGUGGAUGGGAAGUCAAAGGAUAUGAGAUUAUUUGUUCUUAUUGUAUUUUAAGAGAAUUUGUAAAAACUGAAAAUUUAAUUUAAAAUAUUAUAAUGUAGAUGGCUUCAGAAAUGGAUUAAGCUUUUCAAUGUCUACUACUAACCUUGAUGGUUAUCUAUUACCUACAGGAUUAGAGGAAGCGUGUGUCUCUGAAUAACAGUAGCAGGGGAACAAGGACCGUUGUCCUCAGGUCCUGCUUGUCGGCUUCCUAUGAACAUCUGGUUGGCCACUGUAGAAAAGAGGAUGCUGGACUAGUUAGAUCAUUUGUCUGGUUUAGCAAUUAUUCUUAUGUUCCUAACUGUUCAGUCAUGACCAGGGUCCAAGUUUUCUGCUGAACUUCUGCUUCAUCACUUAGCACAAGAAAGUGAAAGAACACAUACCUGCCAACAUUUCUCUGAUGAAAAUAGGGAUGUCCUAUCCCAUAAUGAUGAUGAUGAUGAUGAUGAUGAUGAUGAUGAUUUGCCACAACCACUCUGGGUGAUGCUAGGAGACCUCUAUUCCCCCUCCGAAAGACACAGUUCCCAGAGUUUCCUGGGAAGAGGGUUGAUUGUUCAACCAAUUGUUUUGGUCUGCAACUUCCAUCAUCCUGGACCAGUU